AAAAAGAAGAAGAAUAAGAAGAAAGCCCCUCAGCAGAGAGCCUUGCAAACCAAUGCUGCCCUGCCCAUCUGCUGUCUCACCCCAAAUCCCCAAUACCUGUUGGUUCUACAUGAGACAUUUACCCCUUAGUAAAGAAAAUUUAUAGGUAAAGCAAAAUUGUAGGUAAUUGUCUGAAUUGAAUUAUAGGCGUGCUUUUUCACCGAUCAAAAUGCAACUUAAAUUUUUAACAAUCUUUGUAUGGUAGCAAACUUUUCUUUUUACAUAUGUAGGAAAAGUUGAACUUUAGAUUGAUUUUCUUUUUGAACUUUAAAUGGAAAAUGGUAUUUUGUGUAGUCACAUGUUCAAAAUUAAGAACUAGCUGAUUGAUCUUUUUCCCCCUUCUCCUGGUUGAACCAACCAAUUUUACAAACUUAAAAAAUUUAUUUCUUUGUCUAGGUAUUGAACUUAUGUUAUCUUAAAUUUUUUUGAUGAAUUUAAUUUGUAAAAAGUUCUGGGUUUAUAUUAGUUUGGAAGUGGCCUAUGGGGCAGUGCUCGUAAGAACUUAGGGGGGCAUAACUUUUUGUAUUAUAAAUGUAUAACACUUUAUGCCAAUUUUCACUUUAUUUCGACUUUGGGCCAUCCAACUCUACUAUUCUAUUUCUGCAUGUGGGUAUGCUGUCUGUUGUAAUAUUUAUUGUAAAUGUGAAAUUAUUAGUACACUGCAGUACAAGAUGCCAUUGGCUUGGACUUCAUAAUCAUGCUUUGUCUAAUUAAUUUUUCUUUUCCUUUUUUCUUUUGAAAUCAAAGUAGACAUUCUUGCGUCAGAAGUUAACUUUAGCCUCUUCUGGAACAA
rnacentral:misc_RNA from 1 species